rnacentral:rRNA from 1 species
CAGCCGCCGCGGUAAUACAGAGGGUGCGAGCGUUAAUCGGAUUUACUGGGCGUAAAGCGUGCGUAGGCGGCUUUUUAAGUCGGAUGUGAAAUCCCCGAGCUUAACUUGGGAAUUGCAUUCGAUACUGGGAAGCUAGAGUAUGGGAGAGGAUGGUAGAAUUCCAGAUGUAGCGGUGAAAUGCGUAGAGAUCUGGAGGAAUACCGAUGGCGAAGGCAGCCAUCUGGCCUAAUACUGACGCUGAGGUACGAAAGCAUGGGGAGCAAACAGGAUUAGAUACCCCUGUAGUCCCUGUCUCUUAUAA